AGAGUUUGAUCCUGGCUCAGGACGAACGCUGGCGGCGUGCCUAAUACAUGCAAGUAGAACGCUGAAGAGAGGAGCUUGCUCUUCUUGGAUGAGUUGCGAACGGGUGAGUAACGCGUAGGUAACCUGCCUCUUAGCGGGGGAUAACUAUUGGAAACGAUAGCUAAUACCGCAUAACAAUGGAUGACACAUGUCAUUUAUUUGAAAGGGGCAAUUGCUCCACUACAAGAUGGACCUGCGUUGUAUUAGCUAGUAGGUGGGGUAACGGCUCACCUAGGCGACGAUACAUAGCCGACCUGAGAGGGUGAUCGGCCACACUGGGACUGAGACACGGCCCAGACUCCUACGGGAGGCAGCAGUAGGGAAUUUUCGGCAAUGGGGGAAACCCUGACCGAGCAACGCCGCGUGAGUGAAGAAGGUUUUCGGAUCGUAAAGCUCUGUUGUAAGUCAAGAACGAGUGUGAGAGUGGAAAGUUCACACUGUGACGGUAGCUUACCAGAAAGGGACGGCUAACUACGUGCCAGCAGCCGCGGUAAUACGUAGGUCCCGAGCGUUGUCCGGAUUUAUUGGGCGUAAAGCGAGCGCAGGCGGUUUGAUAAGUCUGAAGUUAAAGGCUGUGGCUCAACCAUAGUUCGCUUUGGAAACUGUCAAACUUGAGUGCAGAAGGGGAGAGUGGAAUUCCAUGUGUAGCGGUGAAAUGCGUAGAUAUAUGGAGGAACACCGGUGGCGAAAGCGGCUCUCUGGUCUGUAACUGACGCUGAGGCUCGAAAGCGUGGGGAGCGAACAGGAUUAGAUACCCUGGUAGUCCACGCCGUAAACGAUGAGUGCUAGGUGUUGGAUCCUUUCCGGGAUUCAGUGCCGCAGCUAACGCAUUAAGCACUCCGCCUGGGGAGUACGACCGCAAGGUUGAAACUCAAAGGAAUUGACGGGGGCCCGCAC
rnacentral:rRNA from 1 species